UAGGGAAUUGUUCGCAAUGGGCGCAAGCCUGACGACGCAACGCCGCGUGGAGGAUGAAGAUUUUCGGAUCGUAAACUCCUUUCGAUUGGGACGAAUUUUCCGAGGGUGAAUAGUCCUUGGAAGUGACGGUACCGAGAGAAGAAGCCCCGGCUAACUCCGUGCCAGCAGCCGCGGUAAUACGGGGGGGGCAAGCGUUGUUCGGAAUUACUGGGCGUAAAGGGCUCGUAGGCGGCCAACUAAGUCAGACGUGAAAUCCCUCGGCUUAACCGGGGAACUGCGUCUGAUACUGGAUGGCUCGAGUUCGGGAGAGGGAUGCGGAAUUCCAGGUGUAGCGGUGAAAUGCGUAGAUAUCUGGAGGAACACCGGUGGCGAAGGCGGCAUCCUGGACCGACACUGACGCUGAGGAGCGAAAGCCAGGGGAGCAAACGGGAUUAGAUACCCCUGUAGUCC
rnacentral:rRNA from 1 species